UACGUAGGGGGCAAGCGUUGUCCGGAAUCAUUGGGCGUAAAGAGCGCGUAGGCGGCCCAGUAAGUCCGCUCUGAAAGUCAGGGGCUCAACCCCUGGAUGCGGGUGGAUACUGCUGGGCUAGAGUCCGGAAGAGGAGAGUGGAAUUCCUGGUGUAGCGGUGAAAUGCGCAGAUAUCAGGAAGAACACCCGUGGCGAAGGCGGCUCUCUGGUACGUGACUGACGCUGAGACGCGAAAGCGUGGGGAGCAAACAGG
rnacentral:rRNA from 1 species